GCGUUCUGAUUGGGCGGGGCGGCACGGCGUAGCGUGGUUUAAAAAUACAAAGGGAGGCAGGAGGGCGCUGAGAGGAAUCGGUCGGGGGCGGCGGGCGGCCUGCGGCGGCGCCGCAGACCGCCGCCGCAGACCGCCGCCGCCCCCCCUGGGGCUUCAUCGAGCAUCGUUUUGAGGUGAAAAAACGACGUUUCCCCCCAAUAAUUUAGUCAGGUUUGUGGGGAUUUGGCACUCCGAACGCUCUCCCCCCACCCUUGCAGAAUCACCUCAGAGCGCAGAGGAAGAAGCCAGGCCCGCAAGCUUUGAAAAUGCCUGUUUCUUGGAAAGUGCUGUUUUGUUUGGUGAAUUGAGCUGCCAGGGCACGAUGCUGUUCCUGUGCAGACGAAACCACAAACUCUGUCCCCAGAGAUCCCCUGGCUGGUGCUCUCCUAAAAUCUGGGAUCGGCGCGGCACUGACUCCGGUGGGUCCGC
rnacentral:lncRNA from 1 species